GUAUUCAUCACUCUCCGAUGUCAGGGUUUGAAGAUUUAGGAUUAUGGAGGGGAGCUGCAAUGUCGAGCUUGGAGGAGGCGUACCAAGGUUUGCACUAGAAUUCUUGGGAACGGGUCAACGUUGGCAUCAGCUACUAACAAUUUUGAGAGGAGAAGUUUGGUAAUGGAGGUUGGUGCCAUGCCGGAUGCAGUGUUUGGCGGGUUGCAACAGAAGGGAUUCCAGUGCUGGAA